AAGUAGACAAGGGCGCAUGGGGGAUGCCUAGGUUCUCAGAGGCGAUGAAGGACGUGCUAAGCUGCGAAAAGCUACGGGGAACUGCACAGAAGUAUUGAUCCGUAGAUAUCCGAAUGGGGCAACCCGGCAGAUUGAAGAUCUGUCACCGAGAGGAGCAAACCCGGGGAACUGAAACAUCUAAGUACCCGGAGGAAGAGAAAACAAUAGUGAUUCCCAGAGUAGUGGCGAGCGAAAUGGGAUUAGCCCAAACCAGUAUAGUUACGGCUAUAUUGGGGUUGUAGGACUACAAUAUCGAUAUAAAAAUGAAUUGGAAUGGCAUGGGAAGGCCAACCAUAGGGGGUGAGAGUCCCGUACAGGUAAGUGUGAUAGAUGGUAUGGGUAUCCUGAGUAGGUCGGGGCCAGAGGAACCCUGAUUGAAUUUGCCGGUACCAUCCGGUAAGGCUAAAUACUCCUGAGAGACCAAUAGUGAACUAGUACCGUGAGGGAAAGGUGAAAAGUACCCUGAAUAAGGGGGUGAAAUAGAACCUGAAACCGCACGCCUACAAGCGGUCGGAGGCGCUUAGUGCGUUGACGGCGUGCCUUUUGCAUAAUGAGCCUACGAGUUG
rnacentral:rRNA from 1 species